rnacentral:lncRNA from 1 species
GAGAAUAUGGUUCUCUUAACUCCAUUAGACUUAAGUGUUAUUUGUGUAAUUCACAUGAAUUGUGCUUGUCUAGUUUUACUAUGGACCAUUGGAUGGGAUCGACGGUCGAGAUUAAAUCUAUUUGAGAUAUUUUUGUUGCCUUGUCUUGGGGGAGAAGUUUUGACUUGAAAGUUACCACAAAAAGGGCUUCCCCCACGUUUUUGCAACACAGGUCUUU